GUACACGGCGACCCUGGCCGCUAAUAGCAACUACUUUUAGCCAAUGGCGUACAUACACGGCGAGCAGGCCGCCAUUACAAAUUCUUGCUUACGUUCGCCCAUUUGCCCUGCGCUACGCUGAGUUUUAAAGUGCUCUUCGACAAUACACAACUGAAACCUCAAAAGGCGGCUCCCGCCACCGGAGAAAAAAAAAAAGAGUGAUUCAUCAUCUAACUGGGUUUAUCGAAACAAUCGCAGAAGGAUUAUCUUUGGAAGAAGUCCUUCCAUUGAUGACAUCAACAGAUUCGUAGCUGCUGGAAAGAUACAUUGAGAUUGAAAUAAUCGGUGGGCGCGGCCAGCCACAAGUCUGAGUUGGCUUCAAAUCAACUCCAGCGCAAGAGAUGGAGCCCGUGCAGGAACCAUGAAUUGCCUUGACCUGACAUCUGCUUGCUGGGAUCCAGUUUUUGGUGUUAAAUCUCUUGGAAAUGAUGAAGUUUAUAUUUCCUACAGACUUCACACUACAUGAUAAUUGAAGAGACAAAUGUUGCAAUAGAUCUUUAUGUAUAAUAUUAAAUACUAACAGUACAUAGUGACACAUAAAAUUAUGUAUGUUGGACAUAGAGACAAUAUCAAGGUGUUGUAAAUAAUUGUCUUUAUUGUUUUAUAAACUUUUGCACAUUAAAAUACAUAUUUAUUAA